GACGAACGCUGGCGGCGUGCUUAACACAUGCAAGUCGAACGGAAAGGCCCUGCUUUUGUGGGGUGCUCGAGUGGCGAACGGGUGAGUAGCACGUGAGUAACCUGCCCUUGACUUUGGGAUAACUUCAGGAAACUGGGGCUAAUACCGGAUAGGAGCUCCUGCUGCAUGGUGGGGGUUGGAAAGUUUCGGCGGUUGGGGAUGGACUCGCGGCUUAUCAGCUUGUUGGUGGGGUAGUGGCUUACCAAGGCUUUGACGGGUAGCCGGCCUGAGAGGGUGACCGGCCACAUUGGGACUAAGAUACGGCCCAGACUCCUACGGGAGGCAGCAGUGGGGAAUAUUGCACAAUGGGCGGAAGCCUGAUGCAGCAACGCCGCGUGCGGGAUGACGGCCUUCGGGUUGUAAACCGCUUUCGCCUGUGACGAAGCGUGAGUGACGGUAAUGGGUAAAGAAGCACCGGCUAACUACGUG
rnacentral:rRNA from 1 species